GAACUUAACUCACUGCCUGGAAGCUGCAAUCUUGUAGCAAUGAGGGGGAAAAAAAAAGUCAGUGCUUGCCUCAGAAGGGCACAGUUCCUCCAAGUAAAUGUGCAAAGGUGUAUGGGUGAAGCCCUUCAGAAUAACUAACUAUAAUAAAGUACAGUCAGGACUGAUUAGGGUUUUUUCCUGUCUGUACUGCAAUAACCAUUGUUUAUCUCAUUUUUAAAGUACUAAUCAGGAAUAUAUUUCUUUUCUUUAGUUCAAAUGAAUUUACAGGAAGGAAUGUUCCUUCAAGAGUGCAGCAUGAUGGAAACCCAAUACAAGAAUGGAAUGUAAGAAACAUCCUCAAGAAAGGAAAAGCAGAAGGUGAAGUGGAACAAUGUGCAGAGCAAGAAAGACCUGUUUUAUGAAAGAGUUACAAAGUACAACACCAAGAAGAAGAAAUUCUUCACCUACCAGACGAUCAGCAGAAAAUACGAAGUCUC